UCUACUAAAGGAUACCAGACAUCCGUUGGUCUUAGGAACCAACACCCUUGGUGCAAGUCCAAGUAGUAGAA
rnacentral:tRNA from 1 species